CUUUGACUCCCACCGACACUUUUGGUGAGGGAAUUUCUGCCACCUUCUCCAGCCCCAUCUGAAGGCCCCACACAUCAAGCUUCCACAAAGGAAUGUAACUAUCCAGGAACACAGCUUGAAAGAAAUUAGGAGUCACUACUGCCCACUCAUGCAUGGAAUGAAGCACAUCUCCUGCAGAAAAGUAAAAUGUGAAUGCAAGAUCCUGUGACGUGACAGAAAAAUCAGGUUUUCAUAUUUCCCAUUCAGCAUACACUAAGUAUGUAGCAUACAGUGGGGUACAGCCCCGGCAAGAGCAUCAGCAACACGAG